rnacentral:rRNA from 1 species
ACUCCUACGGGAGGCAGCAGUGGGAAUCUUGGACAAUGGGGCAACCCGUGAUCCAGCCAUGCCGCGUGAGUGAUGAAGGCCUUAGGGUCGUAAAGCUCUUUCGCCUGUGAAGAUAAUGACGGUAGCAGGUAAAGAAACCCCGCUAAUCAUCCGUGCCAGCAGCCGCGGUAAUACGGAGGGGGUUAGCGUUGUUCGGAAUUACUGGGCGUAAAGCGCACGUAGGCGGAUCGGAAAGUU